rnacentral:rRNA from 1 species
GAUGAACGCUGGCGGCGUGCCUAAUACAUGCAAGUCGAGCGAACGGACGAGAAGCUUGCUUCUCUGAUGUUAGCGGCGGACGGGUGAGUAACACGUGGAUAACCUACCUAUAAGACUGGGAUAACUUCGGGAAACCGGAGCUAAUACCGGAUAAUAUUUUGAACCGCAUGGUUCAAAAGUGAAAGACGGUCUUGCUGUCACUUAUAGAUGGAUCCGCGCUGCAUUAGCUAGUUGGUAAGGUAACGGCUUACCAAGGCAACGAUGCAUAGCCCACCUGAGAGGGUGAUCGGCCACACUGGAACUGAGACACGGUCCAGACUCCUACGGGAGGCAGCAGUAGGGAAUCUUCCGCAAUGGGCGAAAGCCUGACGGAGCAACGCCGCGUGAGUGAUGAAGGUCUUCGGAUCGUAAAACUCUGUUAUUAGGGAAGAACAUAUGUGUAAGUAACUGUGCACAUCUUGACGGUACCUAAUCAGAAAGCCACGGCUAACUACGUG